UACAGAGGUCCCAAGCGUUGUUCGGAUUCACUGGGCGUAAAGGGUGCGUAGGUGGUUUGGUAAGUCUGAUGUGAAAUCUUCGAGCUCAACUCGGAAACUGCAUUGGAUACUAUCGAGCUAGAGGAUUGGAGGGGGGACUGGAAUUCUUGGUGUAGCAGUGAAAUGCGUAGAUAUCAAGAGGAACACCAGUGGCGAAGGCGAGUCCCUGGACAACUCCUGACACUGAGGCACGAAAGCUAGGGGAGCAAACAGG
rnacentral:rRNA from 1 species